rnacentral:rRNA from 1 species
GAUGAACGCUGGCGGCGUGCCUAAUACACGCAAGUCGAGCGAACAGACGAGGAGCUUGCUCCUCUGACGUUAGCGGCGGACGGGUGAGUAACACGUGGAUAACCUACCUAUAAGACUGGGAUAACUUCGGGAAACCGGAGCUAAUACCGGAUAAUAUAUUGAACCGCAUGGUUCAAUAGUGAAAGACGGUUUUGCUGUCACUUAUAGAUGGAUCCGCGCCGCAUUAGCUAGUUGGUAAGGUAACGGCUUACCAAGGCAACGAUGCGUAGCCGACCUGAGAGGGUGAUCGGCCACACUGGAACUGAGACACGGUCCAGACUCCUACGGGAGGCAGCAGUAGGGAAUCUUCCGCAAUGGGCGAAAGCCUGGCGGAGCAACGCCGCGUGAGUGAUGAAGGUCUUCGGAUCGUAAAACUCUGUUAUUAGGGAAGAACAAAUGUGUAAGUAACUAUGCACGUCUUGACGGUACCUAAUCAGAAAGCCACGGCUAACUACGUG